AUGCCCUCCUUCUUCCUGGCGAUGCCCUUGCUGCCUCCCCUCCUCCACGUUGCUGCCUCCCCAUGGCGUCGCAUCCGGCCUCCCGCGCCAGAGACCCUCUGCACGAGCCCUGCCCGAUCCCCUCGUCCUUCUCUUCCGUCGCGCGCCCGCAGUGCCGGCCCCCGCGCCCUUCUUCCUUACCUUCCCCCGCGCCGGAGCAAGCCGCCACCGCCUGCGUUCCCCAGUCGGUGCCCGCCUCCCCUUCUCUCCUGUGCCGCAAGUGCUCAAGCCCCCGCUCCGCGCCAGCCCUUGCCCUGCCGUCCGCCGGCCCGGCGAGCCGGACCUCUCCGUCGCCCGCGCCAGCGACCUCCACGCCUCCCCAUCAUCAUCUCCGGCAGGAAGAUGCCGCCAAGCUCCGCCCCGCGCCCGAGCACCUCUACUGCGAGCUCGCCUGACCCGCGCGGUCAUGGCACCGCCGGCCUCCAUGGUGUGCCUGCGCCCUGCCCUCCUCAUCGUCCUGCUCAUUCUGGUCGUGGGCCAUGGACGUGCAUUGCCGCUAGCCUCUGGUGCGCGCGUCCCAUCUCCCAUGUCGCAUCCCAGCAACACUUUCGUGUUCGAGCCCACCGCUGCACCUUUGCACCACAACGUUGCUCGCUGCACCCAAGUACCCUGGAUCGCCAAUUCGUCUACCGCCUUCAAGUGAACGACUACCAUGGAUGUGUGCCGGUGCCAUUUGGAAUCGUCGGGCCCGUCAAGACCCAUACCUGGAUCGUCAAGUACUGUCUCCCGGAUUCCCCAAGUACCCGGAUUCCCCAAGUACCUCGCCAUCGGUGUCCCUCAAAGAUUGAUGUUGGAACAUGCACGACUACGCAGAUUCUCCAAGUACCACGACGCCCCCAAAGAGUUCGGAUUCGACAAGUCCGAUGUCGCGCUUGUACAACUACGCUGCCGAGACCGAGACCGGUGAAACCGACCUUGUAA
rnacentral:rRNA from 1 species